rnacentral:misc_RNA from 1 species
UCCGGUUUGGCACCGGCAGUCUUCCUAGAGUCCCCGCCAUUACCCGCUGGCAACUAAGGGCAGGGGUUGCGCUCGUUGCGGCACUUAACCCAACAUCUCACGACACGAGCUGACGACAGCCAUGCACCACCUGCACACAGACCACAAGGGAACUGAUAUCUCUACCAGCGUCCUGUGCAUGUCAAGUCCAGGUAAGGUUCUUCGCGUUGCAUCGAAUUAAAGAACAUGCUCCGCUGCUUGUGCGGGCCCCCGUCAAUUCUUUUGAGUUUUAGCCUUGCGGCCGUACUCCCCAGGCGGGACACUUAACGCGUUAACUGCGGCACAGAGGGAUUCGACUCCCCCCACACCUAGUGUCCAUCGUUUACGGCUAGGACUAC